rnacentral:tRNA from 1 species
GCGGUGCUGCGGGACCGGCACCUGGGGCGGUUCUGGCGCGACGAGGAGCCGGCCGAGGUGUUCGAGCCGUUCAAUCUGCUGCACCGCA